rnacentral:misc_RNA from 1 species
UGUACGGCUCUCUGUGCCAGCGGCUUUGCGUAUCACACACCAUCGGGCGACGCUGUCGGUUCUCCGACACAUCUUGCGUGGUGGGUGCCUUCUCGACAGGCGGAACGCAGCCUCUUCCCAGUUGCGUGGCUAUCGGUGACACACUCCGAAAGCUGGAGUAGGCAGAGAAGACCAACAUCACAAACCCAGCAGAUUGGGAGAACGAUUGCCUUGUAAAAGUAGUGAAGGCACUCCGGACAGUAUGAGGACGAAAGAGAUAUCGCAAGAAACGACACUGCUGCUGCCCAACGCAUCCAGCGACCGUGCGACCCGCACAUCUGCCAUGGACGCAGAGGGUGAAGCCUGGAUGACGCCGCGCAUGGUCUUAUGGACGUUUACUAUGAGUAACUUUCUGCUCUACUUCGAUCGUGGCGCGACAGUCGGUGCGCUCUCCUCCAUCUGCUCCGACCGAGACCUCGCUGGCAACGACACGCCGCUGUCCGAUGCCAAGAGGGGCUUCCUUGUCUCCGGGUUCAUUAUCGGCUACGUGGUUGCUAGCCCCCUCUUCACCUCCCGCGGUAGCGCAUGGGGAUCAAGGAUGGUCGUUCUGCUCGGCAUGGCGCUGUGGUGCGCUACAUGCCUCGCCUGUGCCGUCUCCCUCAACUACACGGUCCUGUUGGUCUGUCGCAUCCUUGUUGGCGUGGCAGAGGCUGCGUUUGUCGCCUUCACCGUGACAAUUAUCGACAACACGGCCCCUGCCACGCAUCGGACAUCGUGGAUCGGUUUCUUUUACUCCAUGAUCCCCAUCGGAACGGCGGUGGGAAUGGGCUGCGCCGGUCUGCUCACAUCGUACCCGACGCUGUGGGGCUUCACGCCGUGGCGUGUGAUAUAUGUAACUGAGGUGAUGGCGGCGCUGCCCAUUGUGGUGCUUCUCUGCUACAUCCCUGCUUCCUACCACCUUGCUACGGCGACGGAAUCGGCCCCGCAGUUGCCUUUUCUCACCGCGACUGGCUGUAUUUUAUGCAACGCAAACUACAUGCUGCUUGUGCUUGGAUUUUCAAUGUACUGCUUCGUGACCGGCGCCGUCUCGACCUGGGGAAUACCCUUUUUGCACGAGGGGCCUCUGCAGCUCACCAAGGCCACCGCUGCGCUCUUCAUGGGCAUCGCGACGACGUGCAGCGGUGUGGUGGGCUCGCUGGGGGGUGGCAUCGCUGUCGACUACUGGGGCGGCAGCACUGGUCCUGCUGGUGCAAUCCAGUGCCAGCAGUUCAACAUCCUCAUGAUCCUCAUCGCGAUGCCUUGCGGGGUAGUUGCCCUCAUGAGCACCGAUGCGCUGGCCUUUGCGACCACUUUUGCGGUAGCAGUGACAGCACUGUUUGCCAUCACAGCCCCCAUCAACGCCUCCAUUCUCACCGUGGUGCCAGCCGGCCUACGCCCGUAUGCCGUGAGCUACUCCAUAUUCAUCAUCCACCUUCUGGGUGACUUUCCCUCGCCAACGCUGGCGGGAAUCGUGUCAGACUUUUUCGGGCGGAACUGCGGUGGCCUUUCACGUAAUGGCUGCCGCGCCGCUGAGCAGCAAUUCCAAUGUGCCUGGAUGGACGAAGCAGAUGGUCUGGGGCGUUGCAUCUGCCGCGUUCAGCUGCGCAACGCUCUUCUUUUAGUCUUUGCGUACCUAUUUCUUGCCCCGCCCUGCUGGGCGGUAGUGUGGUGGCAUCUGCGGCGCGAAGCCCACACUGCAGAUGUCAGCGUCGACGACGCGGAAGACUCGUCUACCUUGAGCACGCCAGGCGUUCCAGCGUUUCUUCUCUCUCACUCACACGAUGAGCUUGACGAAGUGCUCCACACCUGCAUGUGGUUAAAGCGAUUCGGCCAUUACUAGACUUUUGAAUUCGUGCUUGUUUGCGAGCAUGUGCUGCUUCUCGUUUCUUCAACUUUACGCUUCAGCAUCAGUACUGUCAUCAAACAGGGGAACACAACCGCCACCGCAGCGACACACAAGGGCAGCGACGAAGACAAAUACAGCGUCUCGUGCUCUCGGAGGGGGUGCACAGUGAAAGCGAAGAAACAACAAAAAAAAACCGCUGCUAAGCCCCCUCCCUCUCCCUUCGCCAAUUGACGCCACCUCUCUCCUCCUCCUUCACCGGCCCGGAUCGGUGGCUGCAAGCCCUCCUCUGUACACACUUCUUCAACUUGCUUACAUACCAAAACUCUCCGUCUUUCUCUAUUUCUCUAUCCUGCUGCCUCUGAUGGUGACUGCCCUCCGUUUGUGUCGUCGCUCGCACUCCGCUUGCUUCCAG